rnacentral:rRNA from 1 species
AUACGGAGGAUCCGAGCGUUAUCCGGAUUUAUUGGGUUUAAAGGGUGCGUAGGUGGUUUGAUAAGUCAGCGGUGAAAGUUUGCAGCUUAACUGUAAAAAUGCCGUUGAAACUGUCGGACUUGAGUGUAAAUGAGGUAGGCGGAAUGCGUGGUGUAGCGGUGAAAUGCAUAGAUAUCACGCAGAACUCCGAUUGCGAAGACAGCUUACUAAGCUACAACUGACACUGAAGCACGAAAGCGUGGGGAUCAAACAGGAUUAGAUACCCUGGUAGUCCACGCAGUAAACGAUGAUUACUAGCUGUUUGCGAUACACAGUAAGCGGCACAGCGAAAGCGUUAAGUAAUCCACCUGGGGAGUACGCCGGCAACGGUGAAACUCAAAUGAAUUGACGGGG